rnacentral:rRNA from 1 species
AGUCGAGCGGACUUGAUGAGAAGCUUGCUUCUCUGAUAGUUAGCGGCGGACGGGUGAGUAACACGUAGGCAACCUGCCCUCAAGUUUGGGACAACUACCGGAAACGGUAGCUAAUACCGAAUAGUUGUUUUCUUCUCCUGAAGAGAACUGGAAAGACGGAGCAAUCUGUCACUUGGGGAUGGGCCUGCGGCGCAUUAGCUAGUUGGUGGGGUAACGGCUCACCAAGGCGACGAUGCGUAGCCGACCUGAGAGGGUGAUCGGCCACACUGGGACUGAGACACGGCCCAGACUCCUACGGGAGGCAGCAGUAGGGAAUCUUCCGCAAUGGGCGAAAGCCUGACGGAGCAAUGCCGCGUGAGUGAUGAAGGUUUUCGGAUCGUAAAGCUCUGUUGCCAGGGAAGAACGCUUGGGAGAGUAACUGCUCUCAAGGUGACGGUACCUGAGAAGAAAGCCCCGGCUAACUACGUGCCAGCAGCCGCGGUAAUACGUACGGAGCAAGCGUUGUCCGGAAUUAUUGAGCGUAAAGCGCGCGCAGGCGGUCAU